UCCUGUGAAAGGGUCGUAUAGGUGUGGUAGUGUUAGGGGUCUGAUGCGCCCCGUGCUGGAACCCAGUUGAUGUUAAUGGGUCGCUGGGGCCCAACAGACCCCUAGGGUACACAGUCCAUUUAUACACCCUCAUAACUAGAUAUCUAGGUGGCAAAAUAACUAUUUUUCAAACUUUAUAUCCCCGUGUUUUUGGGUGUAUGUAAGGUGGUAUUUUAAUCUUUAUUAAUAAUAGGUACUAAAAUAUCUUUACCAUUGAUGACCUAGAUACUGUCAUUAAUAACCAUGCCUUCAGGAUUGCUGACUCGUGGCGGCUGCAACUACCGUAGGUGUGUUGUGGGUAUUGGGAACGUGAAAUGACGUGACUGGCGACCCAGGAGACGAACUUUAUGAUGGAAACGGUGGAAUCUGCGAAACCCUUGAUGGCAGUGUGGACGUACUUACCAGAAGCUGGUGGCUGAGGUGUCCCAGAUAAGCGGAAAAGUACUUUAGCCUAUGAAGAUGACUAAUGUAACAGUGGAAGGCUUCAUGGUGCAGGUAAUAACCGACUAGCUGGCGCACCCUGGAGCAGAGCCUCGCCAGCCCAACAGUUUCAUCAGUUGUAGUAGUGAACAUUUCGUGAUAAUCCUCGUAGAUAAACCUGGGAUACGUUCAACCUUCGCCCCCCACAUUACAACCUGAAGGUGAGAUGCUUGAUUACCCGAGACGUGGUUAUCUUGAGAUGAUUUCGGGGCUUUAGUGUCCCCGUGGCCCGGUCCUCGACCAGGCCUCCACCCCCAGGAAGCAGCCCGUGACAGCUGACUAACACCCAG